rnacentral:rRNA from 1 species
AAAGGGUUGCCAACCCGCGAGGGGGAGCCAAUCCCGUCAAAGCCGGUCUCAGUUCGGAUUGUAGGCUGCAACCCGCCUGCAUGAA